rnacentral:rRNA from 1 species
CGGUUUGUCGCGUCGGGAGUGAAAACGCCGUGCUUAACACGGCGCUUGCUUUCGAUACGGGCAGACUAGAGGUAUUCAGGGGAGAACGGAAUUCCUGGUGUAGCGGUGAAAUGCGCAGAUAUCAGGAGGAACACCGGUGGCGAAGGCGGUUCUCUGGGAAUGACCUGACGCUGAGGAGCGAAAGUGUGGGGAGCGAACAGGAUUAGAUACCCUGGUAGUCCACACCGUAAACGUUGGGCGCUAGGUGUGGGGUCCAUUCCACGGAUUCCGUGCCGCAGCUAACGCAUUAAGCGCCCCGCCUGGGGAGUACGGCCGCAAGGCUAAAACUCAAAGGAAUUGACGGGGGCCCGCACAAGCGGCGGAGCAUGCGGAUUAAUUCGAUGCAACGCGAAGAACCUUACCUGGGUUUGACAUACACCCUGCCGCUCCAGAGAUGGGGCUUCUUUUGGGGGUGUACAGGUGGUGCAUGGCUGUCGUCAGCUCGUGUCGCGAGAUGUUGGGUUAAGUCCCGCAACGAGCGCAACCCUCGUUCUAUGUUGCCAGCACGUAAUGGUGGGGACUCAUAGGAGACUGCCGGGGUCAACUCGGAGGAAGGUGGGGAUGACGUCAAGUCAUCAUGCCCCUUAUGUCCAGGGCUUCACGCAUGCUACAAUGGCCGGUACAAAGGGCUGCGAUCCCGUGAGGGGGAGCGAAUCCCAAAAAGCCGGUCUCAGUUCGGAUUGGGGUCUGCAACUCGACCCCAUGAAGUCGGAGUCGCUAG